UUCCGGUUGAUCCCGCCGGACCUGACUGCUAUCGGAUUGAUACUAAGCCAUGCGAGUCUUUGUAGUAAUACAAGGCAGACGGCUCAGUAACACGUAGUCAACCUACCCUAUGGACAAGAAUAAUCUCGGGAAACUGGGCAUAAUUCUUGAUAGAUCAUAAUGCCUGGAAUGGUUUAUGGUUAAAAUGAUUCGUCGCCAUAGGAUGGGACUGCGGCCUAUCAGCUUGUUGGUGAGGUAAUGGCCCACCAAGGCGAUUACAGGUACGGGCUCUGAGAGGAGAAGCCCGGAGAUGGGUACUGAGACACGGACCCAGGCCCUAUGGGGCGCAGCAGGCGAGAAAACUUUGCAAUGUGCGAAAGCACGACAAGGUUAAUCCGAGUGAUUUCUGCUAAAGAAAUCUUUUGCCAGUCAUAAAACCACUGGUGAAUAAGGGGUGGGCAAGUUCUGGUGUCAGCCGCCGCGGUAAAACCAGCACCUCAAGUGGUCAGGAUGAUUAUUGGGCCUAAAGCAUCCGUAGCCGGCUUUGUAAGUUUUCGGUUAAAUCCAUGUGCUCAACGCAUGGGCUGCCGAAAAUACUGCAUGGCUAGGGAGUGGGAGAGGUAGACGGUACUCAGUAGGAAGGGGUAAAAUCCUUUGAUCUAUUGAUGACCACCUGUGGCGAAGGCGGUCUACCAGAACACGUUCGACGGUGAGGGAUGAAAGCUGGGGGAGCAAACCGGAUUAGAUACCCGGGUAGUCCCAGCUGUAAACGAUGCAGACUCGAUGAUGCAUUGGCAUAAUAGCCAGUGCAGUGUCGCAGGGAAGCCGUUAAGUCUGCCGCCUGGGAAGUACGUACGCAAGUAUGAAACUUAAAGGAAUUGGCGGGGGAGCACCACAAGGGGUGAAGCCUGCGGUUCAAUUGGAAUCAACGCCGGA
rnacentral:rRNA from 1 species